ACUGAAUGGGGGCGGGGGCUGGGGUGUGGAGAGUACGCGAGGAUUAAAAAGAAAACCAAGAGCAGAGGAGGAGGGAUGAGAAGAGCUUGCAGGUGCAGGCAGGCAAAAUUCCCUGCAGGGUUCAUGUGCUCUGGGUGCCGGAGAUCCUCGGGUCCCCGGAGGCUGCCGGCGGGCAGGGGCGGCUCGGCGGGGGCUGCGACCACCCCGCCCGGCACCUGCGGGAUUAGCGCGGAGCGGGACUGCGGAGCGCCGCAACCGGCUGGCAGCAGGCAGCGAUAAAGGGGAAUGAACAAGAGCAGUGGCAACCAUCCUAAUGAACAGGACAGAAGGCUGGGUUCCAUUAAAACUCU